AACAAAAACUGCACUGAAAACACGUACGGUCCGUGCUUCGACCCUAACAGAGAUCCGCAGGGAGUCGGUCCACCUGGCAGAGCUGAUCACGUAGGUGACGGUGAGGGGGACAGACUCAUGACAAUGGUGGGCAGUUACUACGACUUCUUUCAGUCUGAGCCAGAGCCGACGUAUUCUGUGCCCUCCAAAGACGACCAUCUAGGAUUGAUCAUAAUUGCCGCUACGCGCACCGUGGAUACCACUGGCACGUUGUUUGGUGUAACAGCUGUUGACAUCUCCAUGAACAUCGUGUUCAAUGAGAUCGUCAACUUUAACCUCGGGAAAUAUUCCUUCGCC